GCCCUACAGUUUGUUGCAAUUCCACUCAAGGCUUGAAAAAUGGUUCCUUCAUUACUAUUUAUGUCAAUUAUAUAAAAUUGGAAGGGACACCCUUUCCCCCUCCUACCUCAUGUAACAUACUGAGACCCAAACUAAUGAAGGACCUUCACAUUUCAAUCAUGCAUGAACUUACGGUUUGUGCAUAUUCAUUACAAUUCAAAUUGCUACAGGUACGACUCUGAACGUAUAGCAAUCUUCAACAAACCACAUUGGAAUAAGCUUGCCUCUGUCUGGUUUCUCGAAGAAACUCGUAAGCAAAUAGUAAUUUUUAUCUUCAUAGAAAUGCAUAUAAAUACAGAUAUUAAACAUGGAGCUAUUCGGUAAAUAAUCCAUUCACAAACUACCGUAGUAAUGUUUGUCACUGUAGGCAGUAUAUAUUUUGGAUGUAAAGUUGGUAAAACUGGUGUCGAUGAAAGCCAGUGUGGUGUAUCAGAGUCAGUUUCGGCAUUUUCUUACAGUUGUUUGGGGGAUUACCUUUCCCUUUCCUAUCUCCGAAUGCAUUCCAAUGGAGAUUCGUGCUGAUAUUUUUCCUGGCAUUCCCCUGUUAAUAUUGUACGGAACCUGUCUAUCCUAAUUUUAGACUGGCACCGGUUACACCUGUCUGGGAAUAAAAGUUUUGAAUUUUCUAGUCUCUGAAAUUGAUUCUGUUUAAAACCAAUUCUCUCAAAAGUUGUUAUGAUAAUAUUUGACAUUGGUCUGUAGACCACAAAAAACGCUCAGGUCAAAGCUUUUUCUGCGAACAUUUGGACAAGGACUUUUAAAUUUUGAGAAAUUUUAAUGCUUUAAAAAUGAGAAGGUUUAACAUUUUAACCCUUUGAGCUGAUUUACUCAAAAUGAGGGCAGAGAAAUAACACAACUGCAUCAGCACAAUCAAUGAUUUCAUCAUUUCUAUUAUUAUUAUUUAAUUUUAUAUAACUUUUUGGGGAAAAUGUAUAAUAUAAUAAAAAACAACAGAAACAUUAAGCUUGGAAGAAGCGGAAAUUCUGUCCCUUUCCUGAAGAAGGUAAAAAAGCAAUAAUUCAUACAUGUAGCUAUGGAAUUAUAAGGUUGUUUAUUUGUGUUUUGUAUUAUUUGCAACUUCUAUUGAUGUAAACUUCUUUACAAGUUAAAAGUUGAAAGAAAUACUUCUGCACAGCCUGUUGCCAGUGUAAGAAAAACAUUGCCAGGUAUUUGUAGUAAUACAUUUGUCCUAUGGGGCUUACUCACUUUUACAUGUUGAAAUACUACAAGAUAUUACAAGCCAAGGAAUUAUGUCCUGAUGUUUAUUGAGAACUAGAUCCCGGAUUAUUUUAUUAAUAUUCUUUACAGUUUCUCUCGAAAUCUUGCAAGUAAUUCUUCACGAUGAGUUGGGCAGCAUAUGUGAGCGACCAAUUGUUCACCCCGGGUCAGAUGUGCAGUGCCGGAAUUUACGGGCUGGACGGUGGCGAAUGGGCGGUGCAGGGAGACAUUCGACCCACCCCAGCAGAGAUCACCCGUCUAAUUGCCAUCCUACAGGGCAAGGAAACUGACUUUAAUAGCAUCAAGAUUGGUGGAAUGAGCUUUCUGUACAUCACGCAUGACCCGGCGGAAGGUUGCAUCACAUUGAAUCGCAUACAUCCGCCAACAGAGGAUGAAAAAUACGUGUGUUGUGGCUAUCUGUCGAAGGGCUGCUUUAUAUUCGGGGCUGUUGUCGGUAACUACCGCAUGGGAAAUUGUAGUAAGGUGACUUGUCGGCUAAGAGACUACCUGAAACAAGUAGGAUAUUAACUGUGUGUGCAAGCCUUGAAAAACAUCAUAGAUUGUUUUAGACGUAUAAUAAAAUUUGUUGUGGAGAUUGACAAUUCAUUAGGAUUUAUAUAAAUUUUACAGUCAAAGGGAAGCAACUGUUGCAGCUUCUGAGCAAUAUAAACGCUGGUUGUGUGCCUUGCUGUUGUGUUUUUGUGAUAUGAGUAUGGUGCUAUUAUGUUAAAAUUUCUUAAGAAAAGAGAAAUCCUUCCAAAAAAAUUAUCUGCAAAAAGCUUUGUACAAGAUCUUGGAUAUAACUACUUGAACGACAGAAGUCCCCAUUUUUACCAGCCUUGGUCAUAAUUAUGUCAAACAGUUUAAGUGACUUGUUAUAAAGGGUAAAGAAUAAAAUGUGUUAUUUGAUGAUUUAAAAAAAUUCAUGAUAUGAUAGACUUCAUACAGAUUUGUUCUUGUUACAUUUGUGCUGCUUUUUAUUAUGAAGUUUAAAUUUGUUCAUUUUUUGCAAUAUUACUAUUAUAAUGCUUUUUAUUUUUACUGAAUGCGGUGAUAUGGAAAAGAUACAUGAUAGUUGAAGUAUUGUUUGGCUUGUUGAGGAAGAAAGACCAGGUAUUGUUGUAGCCUUGAAGUGUUGUCAGCGUUAUCAUCGGCAGCGUUGUCCCAGUGCCAAGAUUUUAACCAUGGCCAUUACUAAAAAAUUGUUGAACAUAUUUUAAUGAUACUUGGUAUCAUAUUGUAAGAGAAAUGUUUGACAAGGCCCAUAACUCUGACUUAAAUAAUUGUAAAGUUAUGCCCCUUUUUUAACUGAAAAAAUAGGCAAGCGUUGGUGCUAGCUCUGUGCGCUAUUAAUAGCUAUUUUUUUACACCAAGUGAUCACUUUUUUGUGGUUGACAGUACAUGUAUGAGUAGAAUUAUUAUUGGUGUCCUGACUCUGUUGUCUGCUUGACUUGCGGCUGUAGUAAUUUUCAGAGGUGAUGAAUAUUUCAUAUAAUGUUAAUACCUUAAGGGACAAAAGGCAAAAAACAUGUUUUAGGCCACACCAAUUAAAACCAAUCAUUAAACCAAUUUAAAUCAUUUUGAUAUACUAAUAACAGAUUUUUGACGAAAAAAAUAACGGUUUCAGUCUUCACUGAUUUGUCAGAGACAAAUAAUAACAUGUAGCUUUUUCUGUGUUCAAUGAUGCAGUAUGAAUGGCUUUCACAAGAUUUUUCAACUUUUUUUUCUUCUAAAAUAAAAAUGCAAAUUAUAAAUUUUGCUUUUUUUUUCUAAAAAAAUGGUGUAGUAGAUCUGUCAAAUGAAAACUUAAAUUUGGUGUGGCCUUAUGAAAAAUAGCAAGGUUUAAUAUAAAACCUUUCGAGUGUGAAAUACUCAACAAAAAUGACAAGAUUUUGCUUAUUUUAUGAGCAUGCAAGGUAAUCUAUUUUAAUAGAUGUGUUUGAAAUCUUCAGAAUAUGCUCUAAUUUGAUGGAACAAGUCAGUUUAAAUAAAAAGGUGAUUCCUGGGGCUGUAUUCAAUAUUGUUCUUAUCCUUGACCUUAGACAUGCCUCAGUGAUUCCAUGCAGUUCAUUGGCCAGUUAUUUUUACAGUCCAAUCAAAACACUUGGAUUCAAAUUUUAAAAUGAAUCAAAAUGUAAGUUGGUCACUGAAUACAGCCCCUUAUUAACAAAUCAUCUCAUUCUUUUGUGCCAUUUAUGUCAUUGUAUUGCCAGAAAGUGCCAAAUAAAUUGUAAUAAUUU